GCGGAUGUGGCGGAACUGGCAGACGCGCUGGACUUAGGAUCCAGUGCCGCAAGGCGUAUGGGUUCGACCCCCUUCAUCCGCACCA
rnacentral:tRNA from 11 species